AUUGAACGCUGGCGGCAGGCCUAACACAUGCAAGUCGAGCGAGCGGCGGACGGGUGAGUAAUGUAUGGGGACUGCCCGAUAGAGGGGGAUAACUACCGGAAACGGUGGCUAAUACCGCAUACUAUCGGAUAACCCAUAUGGGAUUAGCUAGUAGGUGGGGUAAAGGCUCACCUAGGCGACGAUCGCUAGCUGGUCUGAGAGGAUGAUCAGCCACACUGGUACUGGAACACGGCCCAGACUCCUACGGAGGCAGCAGUGGGAAAUAUUGCACAAUGGGCGAAGGCCUGAUGCAGCCAUGCCGCGUGUAUGAAGAAGGCCUUAGGGUUUUAAAGUACUUUCGGCGGGGAGGCGUUACCGGCAGAAGAAGCACCGGCUAACUACGUGCCAGCAGCCGCGGUAAUUC
rnacentral:rRNA from 1 species